rnacentral:rRNA from 1 species
CAGCACCGCGUAAUACAGAGGGUGCGAGCGUUAAUCGGAUUUACUGGGCGUAAAGCGUGCGUAGGCGGCUUUUUAAGUCGGAUGUGAAAUCCCUGAGCUUAACUUAGGAAUUGCAUUCGAUACUGGGAAGCUAGAGUAUGGGAGAGGAUGGUAGAAUUCCAGGUGUAGCGGUGAAAUGCGUAGAGAUCUGGAGGAAUACCGAUGGCGAAGGCAGCCAUCUGGCCUAAUACUGACGCUGAGGUACGAAAGCAUGGGGAGCAAACAGGAUUAGAUACCCCGGUAGUCCCUGUCUCUUAUACAC